rnacentral:rRNA from 1 species
AUUGAACGCUGGCGGCAGGCCUAACACAUGCAAGUCGAACGGUAACAGGAAGCAGCUUGCUGCUUUGCUGACGAGUGGCGGACGGGUGAGUAAUGUCUGGGAAACUGCCUGAUGGAGGGGGAUAACUACUGGAAACGGUAGCUAAUACCGCAUAACGUCGCAAGACCAAAGAGGGGGACCUUCGGGCCUCUUGCCAUCGGAUGUGCCCAGAUGGGAUUAGCUAGUAGGUGGGGUAACGGCUCACCUAGGCGACGGUCCCUAGCUGGUCUGAGAGGAUGACCAGCCACACUGGAACUGAGACACGGUCCAGACUCCUACGGGAGGCAGCAGUGGGGAAUAUUGCACAAUGGGCGCAAGCCUGAUGCAGCCAUGCCGCGUGUAUGAAGAAGGCCUUCGGGUUGUAAAGUACUUUCAGCGGGGAGGAAGGGAGUAAAGUUAAUACCUUUGCUCAUUGACGUUACCCGCAGAAGAAGCACCGGCUAACUCCGUG